rnacentral:lncRNA from 1 species
ACCACAUCCCAUGUACGGUCAACAAGCUCCCGGACUGUAUCCUAGGGUUGGUCAAACCUCCGGUGGCGGCCGUAACCCUCCUAUUCACCACACCUCUUCUCAGUCUUCCAACAGUAUGUAUUUCCUGGAUCUCUCCCUCCGGCGGCGGCCGUAACCCUCCUAUUCAUCACACCUCUUCUCCGUCUUCCAACAGUAUGUAUUCGCCGAUCUCUCAUUUAUGUAAGCUUUGUAGGUUAAUCUGUUCGGAGUCAAUUUUAAUAAGGGCAAUUUUGAUCUCU